GGGGAUUAUUGCACAAUGGAGGAAACUCUGAUGCAGCGACGCCGCGUGAGCGAAGAAGGCCUUCGGGUCGUAAAGCUCUGUCCUAUGGGACGAUAAUGACGGUACCAUAGGAGGAAGCCCCGGCUAACUACGUGCCAGCAGCCGCGGUAAUACGUAGGGGGCGAGCGUUGUCCGGAAUGACUGGGCGUAAAGGGUACGUAGGCGGCUAGAUAAGUCAGAUGUGAAAGGCAUGGGCUCAACCUGUGUUAGCAUUUGAAACUGUUUAGCUUGAGUUAAGGAGAGGAAAGGGGAAUUCCUGGUGUAGCGGUGAAAUGCGUAGAUAUCAGGAGGAAUACCAGUGGCGAAGGCGACUUUCUGGACUUAUACUGACGCUGAGGUACGAAAGCGUGGGGAGCGAAC
rnacentral:rRNA from 1 species